rnacentral:lncRNA from 1 species
ACAUCUUCAACCAGAUGCGAUCCUCCCUGAGAAUUCUCAGGGGAAAACAGGUUAAUCAGCAGAUUCUCUAGCUGGUAAUCGCAUGCUCCUUCUCCUGCCAGCUUUCUCAAACCUACUAGUUUCUCAAAACAUCCGUCUAUCAAAGGGAGGGGAACUGGUGGGAGAAGGCUCCGUUUAAAGGGCCUUUUUAAUGAGCUGUGUGCUAGAAUUGUCAAUAGGGAGCAUCUGGAACGGGGCAGAAUCUUGCUGAAUUGGCACAAACCCCAUUUCCUCGUCACUUUGGUCCAUAAUGGAGGCAGGAUCACAGCCCAAGGGUUCAGGGGACAUCACACUUAAUGCUAAUGGAUCAGCAAACGAGUGCAAAAAGUCAAGAACUGGACAUUGCCUGGUAGUGAUCAACUUCAUGGAUUUUAGCUCAAAUAUCUGAUUAGUUUACAUGGAAAAAUGACCCAACAAUUCAAUGAGAUGAAAGGAAGUAUCAGUGAAUGGCUAACAACUGGAAGAACAUACCUGAUACAAAAGGAUCUAGCAAAAGGAGCAGCACCAGGAAACUACAGGCCAAUAACGUGUCUGCCCACUAUAUUUAAACUACUGACUGGCAUCAUAGCUGAGAAAAUUCACACAGAAUACACACAAAGGGUCAGAAAAAUUCUCAAAAGCAAGCUCAAUGGAGGCAACACCAUCAAGGCCAUAAACACCUGGGCCAUACCUGUCAUAAGAUAUAAUGCCAGCAGUAUAUCUUAUGACAGGUAUGGCCCAGGCGUUUAUGGCCUUGAUGGUGUUGUCUCCAUUGAGCUUGCUUUUGAGAAUUUUUCUGACCCUUUGUGUGUAUUCUUUGCUGACCACAGUUUUCACAUGUUCAUGCUUCAUGUUGUCCAACUGUAAUAUGCCCAGAUAAUUAUAGGCCUCUGGCUGGUGACACUUUAUUGUUUGGCCAUUAGGCAUAUUUAUGCCCUCACUUUCAAUGAUUUUUCCCUUCUUCAAUGCCACUGUUGAACAUUUGUCCAAACCAAACUCCAUGCUGAUAUCAGUGCUAAAAAUUUGGACAGUGUUAGUCAGAGACUGGAUUUCUGUUUCCAUUUUCCCAUAUAGCUUCAGGUCAUCCAUGUACAUCCGAUGCGAAAUUUUGUGAGAUUUUUUAGAUGUUUGAUAGCCGAGGUUUGUUUUUUGUAAGAUUGUUGACAGAGGGAUCAUGGCAAUAAUGAAAAGCAAGGGGACAAUGAAUCUCCCUGGAAAAUUCCUCUUCUGAUGUUGACAAGUCCAUAGCUUUCAUUUCCAACAAACAGUUCAGUUUUCCAGUGCUCCAUCAUGUUUUCAAUAAAGGUGCCAACAUUUUUACAAAUCCCGAUGGCGUCCAGGCACUUGAUGAUCCAGCUGUGUGGGAGUGAGUCAUAGGCCUUUUUGUAGUCAAUCCAUGUUAUGUGAAGAUUAGCUUUUCGGCUUUUACAGUUCUCCAGAAUGAUUUUGUCAAUUAAUAACUGGUCUUUUGUGCCCCUGCUUUUCUGUUUGUUGCCUUUCUGUUCAUCUGGCAAGAUGUUUUUUUCUUCAAGAUAGUCUUGAAUUUUGUCAGCUAUGAUGCCAGUCAGUAGUUUAAACAUUAUUAUUAUUAUUAUUAUUAUUAUUAUUAUUAUUAUUAUUAUUAUUAUUACAACAUUUAUAUCCUGCCCUUCUCACCCGAGAGGGGACUCAGGGCGGCUUACAAUAAGCACACAUAUAAAAAUUCUACAAUCUAUCUAUAUAAAAGAGUGAUGGAAUCCUGGUGACCGACAAAACAACAAAACUACAGGCCCCCCCAACCUCAAAAUUUGACAACACAACCCAUCAUCCAAGCCUCUAGGUUGAUACAACAAAAAGAAAAGAAAAAUAAAGUCCUAAUUAGAGGGAAAGGAAUAAUUGUUUUUAUCCAAUUGCUGCCAUUUAGAAGGCUAAGCUCUGCCCACUUGGUCUUCUAGCAACCUACUCAGCCCAGGGGACAGGCAGAGUUAGGCCUCUUCCACACUGCCUAUAAAAUAUAGAUUAUCAGAUUUUAUUAUAUGGCAGUGUAGACUCAAAGCCCUUCCACAGAGCUAUAUAACCUAUGUAUAAUUUUAUAUUAUCUACUUUGAACUGGAUUAUAUUGACUCCACACUGCCAUAUAAUCCACUUCAGUGUGCAUUUUAUCCAGCUGGGUAGAAGGGGCCUCAUAUAAUCCAGUUCUAGCAGGCCGGCAGAAUGUUGGAUAAGUGAAUAUGUUGGAUAAUAAGAAGGGAUUCAGGAAAAGCUGAUUAAGCAUCAAAUUAGGUAAUCAUUAUACAAAUUAAGCAUCAAAACAUCAUGUUAUACAACAAAUUUGACAGAAAAAGUAGUUCCAUGUGCAGUAAUGCUAUGUAGUAAUUACUGUAUUUACAAAUUUACCACCAAAAUAUCACAAUGAAUUUAAAACACUGACUACAAAAACAUUGACUACUAAAAGGCAGACUGCGUUGGAUAAUCCAGAACAUUGGAUAAGUGAAUGUUGGGUAAGUGAGAUUCUACUGUAAUAUGAAAUAAUUACUAUGAUAGAAUAAUACAGAACAAUAUAAUCUCUAAAACCAGGACAGUAAAUAAAGAGCAACACUCUGAAAGCAGGAAAAUUGGAAAUUCCACAAAGGAAACAAUCAGGGCCAACUAACACCUCCCAAGGAAGGAUUCUUCCAGAAAGGAAGCUGACAAUGGAGUGAAGCAUGUGUAUUACCAAAGUCAUCAUCAUCAUUAUUAUUAUUAUUAUUAUUAUUAUUAUUAUUAUUAUUAUUAUUAUUAUUGUGUUGCUGUGAACCAUGAAAAUGAAUACAAUUGCCUCCAAGUAUUCAAAAACACUAAAAUCAGAAUAUAUAAAAAUUAAUGUGGUAUAAUAAAACAGAACAAUACAAUCGCUAAAAUCAGAACACUAAAUUAAGAACAACACUCUGAAAACAGGGGAAUUCCACACAGGAAACAAUCAGGGCCAGCUAACACCUCCCAACAAAGGCUUCCCAUCACCAAAUUUUGGCAAAUCCUGUUUUCUGAGGGCUACAGACAGUAGAAGCACAUAAAAUAUCGCAAAAACACCACUCUGAAAACAAGGGAAUUCCAGACAUGAAACAGCUAACACCUCCCAAAAAAAAAAAAUCACUCAGGGAGGAAACAGCCAGGCUUUAAAGCUGCAAGGCCAUUACAUGCUAAUCAUUUCUCCUAAUUACAACAUUCAUUCAGGUUUGAAUUGGGGGAGUGGACAGAGCCCCCACUGUUAGCCCCAGCUUCUGCCAACCCUAAAGUUCAAAAACAUGCAAAUGAGAGUAUAUGAAUAGGUACUCCUUCAGUUAAUGUUAUAACUGUAUAAUUGGAAUGCAAAUUAAUAGCACACAUAAUUAUACAAUAAUAACCUGCAUCUGAGGGGACGGAAUAUAGCAGCCUUAGCCCCCUAGUAGCCACCAAAAAGGACCUCUCUUGCGAUCUCACCAAAAGCAGCUGUGCAUUGCGGAAACAGCCGACUUUCCAUUUGAGGUGGGUAUGGAUUUUUGGCAAACUCUGAGAGAACAUCUUUUUCUGGGAGAGUCUAAGCUCAGGCAGGUGUAUAUAGGAAAAACACUGGCUUGCAUAUAGCCAUAUGGGGCUUUAUAGAACAUAACACACACUUUUAAUUAUGUCUAGAGAUAGAAUGGUGACCAAAAACAUUGUCAUAAUAAGGAGUUUCCAUUCCCUGUGCAAACUGACCUACAGACCACUUGUGAGGAUAACAUUUAUAACCUUCACGCCACCUACAUUGCCCAACUUCCUUUGCUGUAAAAGCAGGAUACAUGUGUGGUACAUAAAAUAAAUGAUAACAGCCCAAAGCACCACAGUAUUAGAUAACUUUUUCUCAUAUUUUUCAGCUAGCUGUUCAACACUUUCAAGUACAUGGUACACUUAACUGGAAAACUUUUGUCAUGAAGCUCUUAAGGGCUUAGCAGUACUGUCAGGUUCCACUUUAAUAGCAGUCUUGGCAAAAUCCUGAAUUAGUAUAGUUACAUUGCGGCACUCCUUACCAAAGCCCCAGGAGUCCACAAGUUCUUCCUUGUUCCUUACAAGUACAAAAAUGAACCACUGCUUUGCUUUUUAAAUAAAAAGUGAGAAGAAAAUCUCUUGAAGCAACAUUGUGUUGACAAGCAUGUUCUUAAAUUAAAAUAGGCAUUGGCUGUUGAUAGGUGCUUGAUGCUAUUCUGAGUAGCAGCAUAGAGAAUUAAGGACCAUGCCACUGUUCCAUCAAGUGCUGUGAAAUCUGUAUUGUGAAGAUAAAGGGGGAAAUAUGAAAGAGCAAUAUCGCCAAGCUGCUUCUGUUCUGGCUCCCAAAAAUAUCUGGACAUCAUAUCACAGCCAAUGGCAUUCUUCUGGCAUCCUGGCGAGAAAAAGGAAGAUCUGAGCUGAAAGACUGGAGACUUUGCAGAAAUGCUGCCAGCCUGAGAAGACAAUAAUUGAACUAGAUGGGAAAUACAGUUAUCCCCUCACAUUUGCUGGGGUUAGGGUCCAAGAGAACUGUGAAAGUGGAAAAAUAUUUAUUUUUACUUGAGAAAACACAACUUUAGGAAUCUCUAGGUCCUCUAAUAGGAUUCUGUGGUCAAUUUCCUACAGAAUCAUUCUGUAGGGCCAAUACAUCCCCGGAGAAGAAAUAUUUUCUCUAGGAAUCGCUAGGGACCUCAUUAAAUGGGAAGAUUUGCCCAUCCUAGGAUGCUUGGGUGUCAGUUGAGAUAUGGA